UUGAUCCUGCCAGUAGUCAUAUGCUUGUCUCAAAGAUUAAGCCAUGCAUGUCUCAGUACAAGCCGCAUUAAGGUGAAACCGCGAAAGGCUCAUUAAAUCAGUUAUGGUUCCUUAGAUCGUACCCACAUUUACUUGGAUAACUGUGGUAAUUCUAGAGCUAAUACAUGCAAACAGAGUUCCGACCGGAGACGGGAGGAAUGCUUUUAUUAGAUCAAAACCAAUCGGCGGCGUGCGCGUUCGCGCGCCCGUUCGCCGCUCAACCUGGUGACUCUGAAUAACUUUCGGCUGAUCGCACGGUCCAGCACCGGCGACGCAUCUUUCAAAUGUCUGCCUUAUCAACUGUCGAUGGUAGGUUCUGCGCCUACCAUGGUCGUAACGGGUAACGGGGAAUCAGGGUUCGAUUCCGGAGAGGGAGCCUGAGAAACGGCUACCACAUCCAAGGAAGGCAGCAGGCGCGCAAAUUACCCACUCCCGGCACGGGGAGGUAGUGACGAAAAAUAACGAUACGGGACUCAUCCGAGGCCCCGUAAUCGGAAUGAGUACACUUUAAAUCCUUUAACGAGGAUCAAUUGGAGGGCAAGUCUGGUGCCAGCAGCCGCGGUAAUUCCAGCUCCAAUAGCGUAUAUU
rnacentral:rRNA from 6 species